rnacentral:rRNA from 1 species
ACCUACCUAUAAGCGGGGGAUAACAUUCGGAAACGGAUGCUAAUACCGCAUAUAUCUUUUCGCCUCCUGGCGAUUAGAAAAAAGACGGCUUCGGCUGUCACUUAUAGAUGGACCCGCGGCGCAUUAGUUAGUUGGUGAGGUAAUGGCUCACCAAGACGAUGAUGCGUAGCCGACCUGAGAGGGUGAUCGGCCACACUGGGACUGAGACACGGCCCAGACUCCUACGGGAGGCAGCAGUAGGGAAUCUUCCGCAAUGGACGAAAGUCUGACGGAGCAACGCCGCGUGAGUGAAGAAGGUUUUCGGAUCGUAAAACUCUGUUGUUAGAGAAGAACAAGGGUGAGAGUAACUGUUCACCCCUUGACGGUAUCUAACCAGAAAGCCAUGGCUAACUACGUGCCAGCAGCCGCGGUAAUACGUAGAUGGCAAGCGUUGUCCGGAUUUAUUGGGCGUAAAGCGAGCGCAGGCGGUUCUUUAAGUCUGAUGUGAAAGCCCCUGGCUCAACCAGGGAGGGUCAUUGGAAACUGGAGAACUUGAGUGCAGAAGAGGAAAGUGGAAUUCCAUGUGUAGCGGUGAAAUGCGUAGAUAUAUGGAGGAACACCAGUGGCGAAGGCGACUUUCUGGUCUGUAACUGACGCUGAGGCUCGAAAGCAUGGGGAGCAAACAGGAUUAGAUACCCUGGUAGUCCAUGCCGUAAACGAUGAGUGCUAAGUGUUGGAGGGUUUCCGCCCUUCAGUGCUGGAGCUAACGCAUUAAGCACUCCGCCUGGGGGAGUACGACCGCAAGGUUGAAACUCAAAGGAAUUGACGGGGGCCCGCACAAGCGGUGGAGCAUGUGGUUUAAUUCGAAGCAACGCGAAGAACCUUACCAGGUCUUGACAUCCUUUGACCACUCUAGAGAUAGAGCUUUCCCUUCGGGGACAAAGUGACAGGUGGUGCAUGGUUGUCGUCAGCUCGUGUCGUGAGAUGUUGGGUUAAGUCCCGCAACGAGCGCAACCCUUAUUAUUAGUUGCCAGCAUUCAGUUGGGCACUCUAGUGAGACUGCCGGUGAUAAACCGGAGGAAGGUGGGGAUGACGUCAAAUCAUCAUGCCCCUUAUGACCUGGGCUACACACGUGCUACAAUGGAUGGUACAACGAGUCGCAAGGUCGCGAGGCCAAGCUAAUCUCUUAAAGCCAUUCUCAGUUCGGAUCGUAGGCUGCAAUUCGCCUACGUGAAGCCGGAAUCGCUAGU